AUUGAACGCUAGCGGGAGGCCUUACACAUGCAAGUCGAACGGAGUGGCGAACGGGUGAGUAAUGUAUCGGAACGUGCCCAGUAGCGGGGGAUAACUACGAGAAAGCGUAGCUAAUACCGCAUACUAUUGGAGCGGCCGAUAUCGGAUUAGCCAGUUGGAGGGGUAACGGCUCCCCACGGCCACGAUCCGUAGCCGGUUUGAGAGGACGAACAGCCACACUGGGACUGAGACACGGCCCAGACUCCUACGGGCGGCAGCAGUGGGGAAUGUUGGACAAUGGGGGAAACCCUGCUCCAGCCAUCCCGCGUGUGCGAUGGAGGCCUUCGGGUUGUAAAGCACUGUUGGCAGGAAAGCGGUACCUGCAGAAUAAGCACCGGCUAACUACGUGCCAGCAGCCGCGGUAAUAC
rnacentral:rRNA from 1 species